CGAUCGGCCCUUUUCAGGGCCACACAAAUAAUUCUAAAGACAAUUAU
rfam:Lasius niger Lnig_2.1_22406, whole genome shotgun sequence.